GCUAUUUGUAUAUUGCAUGAUAUUUUAUCAGGAAAAAAUAUAAAACAGAUCUAAUUUCAUGAAAAUGCUGUUGCCAUAAUGCUCAGGAGAACAGGGGGAAGAGAGAGAUUCAAGUCUUCCUAAUGUCUACCUUAUAUGCAGAGCCUUGGAAAGAUGGGCAAAUGCUCUGUGACAAGCCACCAGGGUAGACUGGUACUGAAAAGACCCUACUACACACAGGGGCUCUGUCCCUGGCUGGAAAGUUACAAGUCAGCCUACCUCUCUGUGAUCUGGUUUCCACACCUACUACUCUUUAUCCCAUGAGGAGCUUCUGGAAACUAAAAUAGCAGCUGCCCAGGUAGAAGAGUGUUGACCAAAGGACACAUCACCAGCACAGACUGUUAAUCAUGUGACUAGAGAAAACUCUCAUGGUGGCAUUCAAAUUUCCAUAUCCUUCUUCUAUGGAAAUUUCUGAGAGACCCAGAAAAGAAGCGUAACGACGAGGGAAAGUGAUUCCUGCAGACCUGAACAUUCCAGACUUACCAGGUGAUCCAGCUGUCUGUCAGCGGGAAGAGGCUGAGGCGCCCCCUUCUGGUGCAUCUGAAUAGUAAGAAACCCUGUGUAGAAAGAAACCCUGUAGCAAUUGGGCACCUUCUCCGUGAUCUGUCUGCUUCCAAUACCAAAAAUUGUUGCUUUUUAAAUGACAUCCAUCCUAAGCUUAAAAAAGACGCAUAUUAUUUGUAUAAAAUGUUGAAGACGCAGAACAAAAAAUGUAAAUCACAUGUAAUCAUCCCUUCCAGAAAUAAUCGUUAUUAAAAUUUCUGUGUAUGUGUAAAAAAAAAAAUUGCAAUCCUACUGUAAUAUAAUCCUGUAUACUGAUAUUUUUCACCUAUCACUGUAUGUUGAGCAUUUUCAAUAGUCAAAUUAUUUCUUGAAAAUAUUAAUGACUGGGGAGUAACCUUUCAAAUAGGUGUGUCUUUAUUUUUAAACCAGUCCACAAUUAUUGUAUAUUGAAGUCAUUUCCCAAAUUUUGUAAGUAUAAGUAUUGCAUCCAUCCUUAUAUGUAUUUAAAUGCAUCUCUUAUUAUUUCCUUGAGAUAAGUUCCUAGAAGUGGAAUCACUGGAUUUAAAAAUGUGGACAUAUUUAUGCCAGACGCGGUGGGUCAUGCCUGUAAUCCCAGCACUUUGGGAGACUGAAGCAGGUGGAUCACUUGAGGUCAGGAGUUCAAGACCAGCCUGGCCAACAUAGUGAAACCCCAUCUCUACUAAAAUUACAAAAAUUAGCCGGGUGUGGUAGUGCACGCCUGUAAUCCCAGCUACUCAGGAGGCUGAGGCAUAAGAAUCACUUGAACUCAGGAGGCGGAGGUUGCAGUGAGCCAAGAUGGCACCACUGCGCUCCAGUCUGGGCGACAGAGUAAGACUUCAUCUCAAAAAUAAAUAAAUAAAAUUAAAAUUAAAUAAGAUAAAUAAAAAAUAAAAAUGUGGACAUAUUUAAAUCUUCAUAUAUAUUACCAAAUGCCCUCCUGAAAGUUUUUACCUGUUACAUUCCAACCAAUAGUGUAAGGGCAUGACUCUUUCCCUGUGUUUUGGGAUGGAUGUUAUCAAAGUUCUCUCCCACCCAGGCCAAGUAUGGUAUAUGCUUUGAUUUAAUUUGAAUUUUUAAAUUAUUAUUUAAAAUGGACAUUUUGUUGUCCAUUUGAACAACUUUCUUUUGAGUCACUGUUCAUGUUCUUUGCCCAUUGUUUCUCUUUUAUUAGUAAGAACCCUAUUGUCAUUUUUAUAUUUUAAAUAAAAUUUCAUUGUAUAUACAUUUAUAUUAUCUAUAGUAAAGUAUAUUUUAUUAUUAAUGAGAACUUUUUAUAUUAAAGAUCCUAACCUAC
rnacentral:lncRNA from 1 species